CACCUGUCAUCCUCUUACUCCAUCUUUAGAAAAUUUGAGCGCUAAAAACACACUAGCCUAUGUCUUCGCUCUUUUCCUUCACACUUUCAUACGUUUCAUAUCACAAACCCUAAUGACGUCUCCCUCUCAAGCAUCCAUGGCCGCCUUCGUAUCUACAACAUCUGUAGCCAUCUUCUUUAUACCUGCGACCACCACAAGCCCUCUGUCUUUUCAUCUCACAAUCUGGUUGUAAAAACCCUAAGAGGGGCCUGUGUUUAUCAAUCUCUCUUUAGAACCUUCCAUCCAUUGCGUCUCCUUCUCAAGCAAAUCUCUUACUUCAGAAGAAACAACUCAGACGUCUCUAUUUCUUUCAAUUCUAGGGUUCUAAACUCAAUUUACUUUCAUCCGAUUAUGAUUAGUGCUUUUUAGGGUUUAUAAUCCUAGGUGAUCAUCGAUUAAACCAUUACUCUGAAACCCUAAGCUCCUGACCGUUUCAAUCGAUCAUGUGCUAAGAGGUACAAACAAUCUUGAAUAAUCAAUAGUGAUCAUCGACGGUAUUGAUUCUGAUAUCUUCUUCUUUUAUGAUUGAUUGAAUGAAACAUCGAUGGUUUUGUUAUGUAUUGAUUGAGUGAAUGAAUGUUAUUUGAAUAUCAAUUUUAGAUUCUCUGUUUGUUAUUGUUUUUUGACACACGAUUUCGUUUUGUUAGGGUUUUAAAAGCUGAUUUGGUUUAUGGUUGAUGAUUAAUGUAUUCUCUGAUUUACCUUUGUUUUGGUACUGAUUUUGGAUAUAUAUUCGGCUUCAUCCGAUUUUGGUUUAUGGUUGAAUGUUGUUUAGGGUUUAUAAAUCCACGGUCAGAUUAUGAACAUAAUUUUUUUCUAUUCCGAUUUUGGUUAAUGAUUCAAUUUUAUUUAGGGUUUAUAAUCCUAGGUGAUAGUGCGGGGUUUCUUUUAUGUUUCCUUUUUGUUUGUAAUGUGCAGGGUUUCUUGGUUCAACCCUCUUUUAUAUACGAUAUAGGAUUUUUUUUGUUUCAUUAUUAUUUGAUGCGUUAUACUUUUUUCAUAGGUUUAUCAUCUUUUGUUAAGUGCUUUUGUGUUGAGAACCUGUUUCCCUUCUUAUUUACCUAAGGUUACCGGUGCUUUAUCUGGAUUGGAUUAAUUUUGACAAUACCUUAGUUAAGCCACCCUUUUAAUUUCAUGACAUAUCGUUUUUUUUUUUGGAUUUGUGAGGUAAAUAAAUCAACGAAGAUGUGGGUGGUGCCGCCGCCACUGCUAUACACUAGGUUGUUGAUGGGGUGAUAUUGAAUGUGCAUAAUUUCUUUUGAGCAAUAAUGCUAACGUGAAAAGGAAAAGCAUAUGGAGUCUACUCUCAUGAGUCCUAACCCAAUCCUCAACAAAAGCUGAGGAGCUUAUAGAACUGGGGAUCCGGAGCCGAAUCGGCCAAUCAGGUUGGCUGGGGUUUGAUGGUUCAGAUCCAUCUACCACUAUAAAACAUGCAGGUCUUGGAAUUAGAGUUUAGACGAUGAUGAGACAUCUUGCAAUUGUUGGUGAAGUUUAUGCCCAAACCGCUCUUGAAGAGUUUCAUGGAACAUCUGGCCUAUAAGUCCAUUUUUAGCUAGCGCGCCUACAUCAAACGACCCUUCUACCAGUGGUAUUAGACAUCAUGGGCAUGCUGGUGUUUCAGUCGUUGCGUGUACCCUACAUGUAGCAGCUUUAGAUUAGGAGAUUUGUAACAAUAUUUGAAGCUUUUGUUUAAUUUGAUGACCGAUUUUCUUUAAAUUGUUUUGACCCAUGUUAUAAUAGCAUCUCAUUUGUUCAAAUAUAUUUAUUUAAGAGACUUUUUGAAUAAUAACACUUCAGGUGAGACUAUUGGUCUCCGGAUGCAGCCAUCAAGUUAUUC